UACGUAGGUGGCAAGCGUUGUCCGGAAUUAUUGGGCGUAAAGCGCGCGCAGGCGGCCCCUUAAGUCUGAUGUGAAAGCCCCCCGGCUCAACCGGGGAGGGCCAUUGGAAACUGGGAGGCUUGAGUAUAGGAGAGAAGAGUGGAAUUCACGUGUAGCGGUGAAAUGCGUAGAGAUGAUGGAGGAACACCAGUGGCGAAGGCGACUCUUUGGCCUAUAACGUGACGCUGAGGCGACGAAGCGUGGGGAGCAAACAGGAU
rnacentral:rRNA from 1 species